UCUCUGCUCUGAAGACUCUGCAGACUGUCUACUCCCUGUGGAGCCAAAGAAGGGCCAGCCAGGCUGGAGGAGCAGCCCAGGCUCAGUCAAGGUCAUAGGUGUCUCAGCUCUCCCAGGGAAGUACAAGUUCACAAGGUACAGCUGUAACAAGUUAAACUUAUGCAACCAAGUAGUAAUUGAAAUGCCAACGUAGCUCUGCGAUAAAAUGUAUAUAUAUUUGGAUUUUGUCAUGGACUCUUGCUAUAGAGCUCCUAAAACCCUUGGAAUUUCCUGGGUAUGAGGAGUUCUUUUUUCUUCAUAAGUGUCCCCUUUUAUCACAAAGGAGUUUAUUUUAAUGAGCUGAUUUAGGGCGGGGGCCCUAGAUAGCCUCAAGUUGGGGCCGGUCACCAGAAAGACCAGGUGAUUAGAAGUUUAAACUUUCGGGGCACCUGGCUGGCUCAGUUGGAGAGCAUGUGACACUUGACUUCAGGAUCGUGAGUUUGAUAUGUUGGGUUUGGAGAUUACUUAAAAAUAAAUAAAAUGCUUUUUAAAAAGAACUUUUUUUUUUUUUUAAUGAGGCUGAUUUUAUUUUUAUUUUUUUGACAGGAUGGGGGGGGAAUCCCAAGCACCGUGAGAUCAUGACCUGAGCAGAAAUCAAGAGUCGGACGCUUAACUGACUGAACAACCCAGGCGCCCCCCACCAAAAAAGAACCCCCUACCUCCCAGAUGGGAGGGGAGCUGGAGGUAUAAAAACUGUCGAGCAGUGAGAUCCAGGGAGCCUCCAGGGUGAGAGAGUCUGGCAUCACUCCAGGAUGUUUGUUUUUAGCUGCAAGUGUGUGAGUGCCGUCGCUGAGGUGGAAAGUCCAGAGCAGGAGCACUUAACAGAAGCAAGUCUCUGGAGUUCGGAGUACUUAACGGAGGCACUCUCAGGAGUCAGGAGCACUUAACAGAAGCACUCUCAGGAGUUAGGUUUUUGCAUGUUGCAUCUGAGAUAUUGCAGGGACCUCUGAGUGGAGGUGGCAAGUGGGCGUCUAGAAGCACAUCUGGAUUUCAAGGAAGGAAGGCGUUAAGGUUUGAGGAUACCACACCCCUCAGCAGCAGCAGGUGUACAGACGGUGUCACAGGUAAGAGGAUGCCCUCAGCAGAUCACGGUGGCGGUGCCAGUACAGGGGAAGGACGGGGAGGAUAUCCAUGGACUGGCUCACUUGCUUCGGCACCCGGAUGGGGAUGGCCGUCAUCACAAAGACAUGAGGAGGUACGGUGACCACGAAUGUGUGUAAGAGAGAGAGUUACGAGGGUACGGGCCUCAGGUGGGGGUCCAGGUGGUGGCAUGGGAUUCCCAGGGGCUGGAUGUGAUCUCCUGAGAGGCAGGGCAGUGAUGGAGGUCCGGUGACACUGAGGAAGGCAUGGUACUUGUUCCCCUCUGCAGGUUUGGGUUUGUGCCAGCUCCUGCUGGGGCCUGAAGAGUGUCUGACGGGAUGACAGAUUCAUUGAGGGGUAAAGGAGUUCCGCCGCAAGAGUCUCUUGGGUCGUGGUGGGAGAAGUGGGCCUGGGCUUUGAAUGAGGAGGUGGAGAGGGACAGGUGUGACUGGAGAGGGGACAGCGCAAACCAUGCUGAGGAGGGCUUAGGGGGUCUGAUCUCACACACGCUGGGGUGGCUGAUGUCAGGACAAGGAGCCAGGCCAGGCGGGGAGGUCCUCAGAGCAGUGCCUGGGGUAGCCCCGGGUCCUGUCGCGUUCGGCAGGCACUGCCUGGGUGCCACAUGCAGAGUGGCCUAUGGGAAGCCAGAGAGAUGCCUGUGACACGGGCUGGAGGCGGCAGUGGUGUCAUGGGUCCCGUGGUCACGGCCUGGCACGUGAGGGAGGAGUGAUCCCAUUGUGCUGUGCGAAUGGGGAAGGGGGUGUGAGGGUGCACUCAGCCCCCUCGUACUCAGGGUUUAAGCCGGAAGGCUGAGCGUGAGUCCAUGUGGCUGUGAUCUUCGUGUCCCAGGAGAGCUGACCAUGCGGGAAGUGGCCUGGGGCACAGAUAAGACCGCCCCCUCCCCAUCUGUUCUCACCGACAAUCGGCAGCAGUGAUGAGCGGGCACGAGGAAGAGCGGGUACCAGUGGACCAGGGCCUGGUACCUCCUCUGAGUGAGGGAGCUGGGGAGGAGGGCCAUGGCCUUGGGAUCCUGCUUAUGAACUCUUCUGCCCCCAUCAUGACAGGGCCACGGGACCUUUGAGGACGUGGCUGUGUACUUCUCUCAGGAGGAGUGGGGGCUCCUGGGUGAGGUUCAGAGACACCUGUACCAUGGUGUGAUGCUGGAGAAUUUGGCCCUUAUAGCCUCGCUGGGUUGUUGGCAUGGGAUAAAAGCUAAGGAAGCCUUUUCUGAACAGAGUUUUUGUGGAAAGAGUGUCACAGGCCAGGAUACCAGAUCCAGGCCUAUUUGUUCCUGAGGCUCCUUCCUGUGAUACAUGUGUCCCAGUGAAGAAAGACAUCUUCAACCCAGCUGAGCGUGAAGGGACGCACGCUGGGCUGAAGCCAUGCACUUGUGGGCCUCGUGGGAAACUGCGCUUGCUCAGUUCACACCUCCACCAGCACCGGAGACAGAACCCCGGAGAGAAGGCCCUCAGAACGGAGGAGAAUGGGGCUCUGUUUGUGAAGAGCAGGAUCCCCGUGUCAGACAACAUUUUCCCCAAUGGAGAGGCCGAGAAGGAUUUCCUGGGCGGCGUGGACCUUCUCCAGCACCAGGCCGUCCCCAGUGGAGAACGUCCGCACGGAGGCAGGGGGAGCAGGGUGGUUUCUCGCCCUCGGCAAGGGCAGUGCAGCGCAGCGAGCAUGGGCAGCCCUGCCACUGAAAGGUUAAGUUCACAGAGCAGCAGAGUGCUUAUGCCGGAGAAGGCCUUCAUAAGCGUGGGCAGUGUGAGAAGUCCUUUGUCCACAAAAAAAGGCUUCUCGAGCACCAGGGAAUCCACGCUGGAGGAAAGCCUCGUGCGUGCAGCAAACGUGGGAAGUCCUGUAAGUACAGAUCU